UAUAACCGACAGCAUUAAAGAAGGAUUUUUUAAUACUGUCGGUUAUAACCGACAAUAAUAGUUAUUCAAAGGCAAUUUUUUUUAAUUACUAUUAGUGUCGGUUAUAACCGACUCUAAUAGUUUGAAAUGUUUUUUAAUAUAACAGCUAGUAGCCGUUGUAUUAACUUUUUUUUUAUAUGAAUUUAAACUUCUUUUUUUCCCUUUUUUUUCCUUUUCAUAUGAAUCAAAUUUUGUUUCAUAUUUUUUUUCAAUUCUAUUUUACAAUAUUUGUUUCAAUUUUUUUUAAAAUUCUAUUUUUUUCCUAUAACUUCUAUUUUACAAAAUUUGUUUCAUAUUUUUUUUAAAUUCCAUUUUUUCCUAUAACUUCUAUUUCACAAAAUUUGUUUCAAUUUUUUUUUAAAUUCUAUUUUUUUCCUAUAACUUCUUGUAGACAUUGAAAUUUUGUAAAUAAAUGUUGACCGAUAAAUCAAAGUUUCAACGCUCAUGUAUUACAUAAAUUUUACACGUAGCGUGUGACUCGACGAAAAAUUGAAAUGAGUCGGAAAAGUCAUCAAACAGGACACAUGUGUUGGUAGAAACGACUUAUUUCA
rnacentral:lncRNA from 1 species